GACGUAGGGCGCGAGCGUUGUCCGGAUUUAUUGGGCGUAAAGAGCUCGUAGGCGGCUUGUCGCGUCGUCCGUGAAAACUUGGGGCUCAACCCCAAGCUUGCGGUCGAUACGGGCAGGCUAGAGUUCGGUAGGGGAGACUGGAAUUCCUGGUGUAGCGGUGAAAUGCGCAGAUAUCCGGAGGAACACCGGUGGCGAAGGCGGCAUCCUGGACCGACACUGACGCUGAGGAGCGAAAGCCAGGGGAGCAAACGGG
rnacentral:rRNA from 1 species